rnacentral:rRNA from 1 species
UGGGGAAUCUUGCACAAUGGGGGAAACCCUGAUGCAGCGACGCCGCGUGAGCGAUGAAGCCCCUUCGGGUUGUAAAGCUCUUUCGGCCGGAACGAAAUGGUUGCGGUGAACAAUCGCGACUGAUGACGGUACCGGAAGAAGAAGCACCGGCUAACUACGUGCCAGCAGCCGCGGUAAUACGUAGGGUGCGAGCGUUAAUCGGAAUUACUGGGCGUAAAGCGUGCGCAGGCGGCCUCUUAAGACAGGUGUGAAAUCCCCGGGCUUAACCUGGGAAUGGCGCUUGUGACUGGGGGGCUUGGAGUGCGGAAGAGGGAGAUGGAAUUCCUGGUGUAGCAGUGAAAUGCGUAGAGAUCAGGAGGAACACCGAUGGCGAAGGCAGUCUCCUGGGCCAGCACUGACGCUCAUGCACGAAAGCGUGGGGAGCAAACAGGAUUAGAUACCCCUGGUAGUCCACGCCCUAAACGAUGUCGACUAGUU